UAGGGAAUAUUACACAAUGGAGGAAACUCUGAUGUAGCAACGCCGCGUGGAGGAUGACACAUUUCGGUGCGUAAACUCCUUUUAUAUGGGAAGAUAAUGACGGUACCAUAUGAAUAAGCACCGGCUAACUCCGUGCCAGCAGCCGCGGUAAUACGGAGGGUGCAAGCGUUACUCGGAAUCACUGGGCGUAAAGCGCGCGCAGGCGGCCCGUUAAGUUGGAUGUGAAAUCCCCGGGCUCAACCUGGGAAGUGCAUUGGAAACUGGCAGACUUGAAUACGGGAGAGGGUAGUGGAAUUCCUGGUGUAGGAGUGAAAUCCGUAGAUAUCAGGAGGAACACCGGUGGCGAAGGCGGCUGCCUGGACCGAUAUUGACGCUGAGACGCGAAAGCGUGGGUAGCAAACA
rnacentral:rRNA from 1 species